rnacentral:rRNA from 1 species
UACGUAGGGUGCGAGCGUUAAUCGGAAUUACUGGGCGUAAAGCGUGCGCAGGCGGUUCGUUAUGUCCGAUGUGAAAGCCCCGAGCUUAACUUGGGAAUGGCAUUGGAAACUGGCGGGCUGGAGUGCGGCAGAGGGGGGUGGAACUCCACGUGUAGCAGUGAAAUGCGUAGAGAUGUGGAGGAACACCGAUGGCGAAGGCAGCCCCCUGGGCCGACACUGACGCUCAGGCACGAAAGCGUGGGGAGCAAACAGG